GACGAACGCUGGCGGCGUGCUUAACACAUGCAAGUCGAACGGAAAGGCCCCCUUGUGGGGUACUCGAGUGGCGAACGGGUGAGUAACACGUGAGUAACCUACCCUUGACUUUGGGAUAACUUCAGGAAACUGGGGCUAAUACCGGAUAGGAGCUCCUGCUGCAUGGUGGGGGUUGGAAAGUUUCGGCGGUUGGGGAUGGACUCGCGGCUUAUCAGCUUGUUGGUGGGGUAUUGGCUCACCAAGGCUUUGACGGGUAGCCGGCCUGAGAGGGUGACCGGCCACAUUGGGACUGAGAUACGGCCCAGACUCCUACGGGAGGCAGCAGUGGGGAAUAUUGCACAAUGGGCGGAAGCCUGAUGCAGCAACGCCGCGUGCGGGAUGACGGCCUUCGGGUUGUAAACCGCUUUCGCCUGUGACGAAGCGUGAGUGACGGUAAUGGGUAAAGAAGCACCGGCUAACUACGUG
rnacentral:rRNA from 1 species